rnacentral:lncRNA from 1 species
UGAAUGUCUAUGGUGAAGUGAUAUCAUAAAUUUUAUUUAUAACUGGUUUGACUGCGUAGUAGACAUAACUCAUAAGUCAUCAAUAUGAAAUGAAAUAAGUCUUUGAAAUCAUUCUUAAUUAGAAAGUCCAUCUGUGAGGAAGAAAAUUGUUUAGAAUCAUGAGUUAUUUCCACUUUACUCCGAUACCAACCGAUGCUGAAGAACAACAUCAAUUCCAAAUGGAGAAUCCCUCCUACUUUGAGGACUUAAUGGGAACCUCAUACAAUAGGAAUGCACAAGGAGGAAAUUGUGAAUUUUCAAGGAAUAAGGAGCAAAUGAAGAAUUAUUGCUUGGAUAUCAGACAAAGUUACUGUCAUCCACAGCAAUGCCAAAUGAUGAAGAGGCUAUAUAGAAUAGAUGAAUAGUAAUUAUGGAUAACAAAACAAUUUUAUCAAUUCGUUGUUAGAGUUCAUUAUUUUAGACAUUUAGUAAAGUUUCGAAUAAUAAAUAGUUUAUAAUUUA